UAAAUCAUAAAUUAAUUUCUCAAAAUUACAGUUAAAAGCACGAAUGGCAAACGCAGCAUCACUAAAACCACGUGGCAUUAAGCCUCCAUCCUUUCUCAAGUAACAAAAUCACCAAAUUUCUUAUCAAUUACCGCCCCUGGCCUCAGGCUGACCAUCGCUGAGUACACCUCACAGCCAACAAAAUUAUCUCUUUUACAUGGCACUCUUCUCUCCACAACCACAACUCCACCGCCACCCCCACAGCGCACGAAAUCUUCUUCAAGCCCCCCAACACUCCUCCGUCUUGCAUUUUAGCCCCUUCUUGCUUCUCUUUUCUGUAAUCCUUUAAGCCCCACAAACGCUUCCAUUUCCUCAAGCCAUGUUCCUCCCUGAAACAGACCAAGAAGCAGAAGACCCUUCAGAAGAGUAAUGCCCCUUAGAGUGUGAAAUGGUUCUUGAGUCCCAAGAGUGGUGGUGGUGAUGAUGAUGAUGAUGAAAAUAAGAGUACAGGAAAGGGCUUGGAUAGUGAUACUGCUUUAAAAGGUACCCUUUUGGCUGGAGUUUUGCUUGUAGGUGUUGUUGGUGGAUUUGAGAGUGUUGGGCAUAUCUAUAAGGACCAGAUCAAUGCGUUUUUGGACCAGUUUUCUAUGUUUAUUGAAGAUAGGAUUGUAGAGCAGAAGGGCGGUGACAGGGAAGCCAGCUAGUCAGCUUGAGGCAACUUAUAAGGAUAGGGGUAUUUUGGUCUUUUUCAUUAUUGGACAAUGUUUAUAUAUUUUGGGAUUUAUUUGCAUUUCUUUACACAUUAUGAGUGUUAUUAAUUGGUUUUUAGACUUCUAAAUUUUGUUUUAUGAAUUAAUAAAUCCACUUCUAGGAUUUUGGGACCUUAUUUUAUUAUGCAUGUUUUUACUGCGAGAACUAUGUAAGAAAUAAUAAUUUAACUCGUCUCUUUGGGUGCAUAUUUUGAGUAAAGGUAUGUAUCUAGAGAGAAGUAUUAUAUUUUUUGUAUCAAAGCAUGGUUUUGAAAAAUCAAAAGUGUUCAAUGUGAAAAA